rnacentral:rRNA from 1 species
GACGAACGCUGGCGGCGUGCCUAAUACAUGCAAGUCGAACGAGUGGCGGACGGGUGAGUAACACGUGGGAACCUACCCAUCAGCGGGGGAUAACUACUGGAAACAGUAGCUAAUACCGCAUACCAUCGGAUGUGCCCAGAUGGGAUGAGCUAGUGGGGGGGGUAACGGCUCACCACGGCUACGAUCCCUAGCUGGUCUGAGAGGAUGACCAGCCACACUGGAACUGAGACACGGUCCAGACUCCUACGGGAGGCAGCAGUGGGGAAUAUUGCACAAUGGGCGCAAGCCUGAUGCAGCCAUGCCGCGUGUAUGAAGAAGGCCUUCGGGUUGUAAAGUACUUUCAGCGGAGAGGCGUUACCCGCAGAGAAAGCACCGGCUAACUCCGUGCCAGCAGCCGCGGUAAUUC